UACGGAGGGUGCAAGCAUUGAUCGGAAUUACUGGGCGUAAAGGGCGCGUAGGCGGCUUGGAAAGUCGGAUGUGAAAUUCCGGGGCUCAACCCCGGAGCUGCAUUUGAAACUUCUAGGCUAGAGUACAGUUAGGGUAAACAGAAUUCCACGUGUAGCGGUGAAAUGCGUAGAUAUGUGGAAGAAUACCGGUGGUGAAGACGGUUUACUGGGCUGAAACUGACGCUGAGGCGCGAAAGCAUGGGGAGCAAACAGG
rnacentral:rRNA from 1 species